rnacentral:rRNA from 1 species
UACGUAGGGUGCAAGCGUUGUCCGGAAUUAUUGGGCGUAAAGAGCUCGUAGGCGGUCUGUCGCGUCUGGUGUGAAAACUCAGGGCUUAACCCUGAGCUUGCAUCGGGUACGGGCAGACUAGAGUGCGGUAGGGGAGACUGGAAUUCCUGGUGUAGCGGUGAAGUGCGCAGAUAUCAGGAGGAACACCGGUGGCGAAGGCGGCUUUCUGGGCCUUACCUGACGCUGAGGAGCGAAAGCUGGGGGAGCGAACAGG